UACGGGGGGGGCAAGCGUUGUUCGGAUUCACUGGGCGUAAAGGGCGCGUAGGUGGUGAGGUAAGUCGGAUGUGAAAUCUCCAAGCUCAACUUGGAAAUGGCAUUGGAAACUACCUUGCUGGAGGUUUGGAGGGGGGACUGGAAUUCUCGGUGUAGCAGUGAAAUGCGUAGAUAUCGAGAGGAACACCAGUGGCGAAGGCGAGUCCCUGGACAAAACCUGACACUGAGGCACGAAAGCUAGGGGAGCAAACAGG
rnacentral:rRNA from 1 species